GUGCCAGCCGCCGCGGUAAUACGUAGGGGGCAAGCGUUAUCCGGAAUCACUGGGCGUAAAGGGUGCGUAGGCGGCUUAUCAAGCCAGGGGUGAAAGGCAUUGGCUCAACCAAUGUAAGCCUUUGGAACUGAUAGGCUUGAGUGCAGGAGAGGUAAGUGGAAUUCCUAGUGUAGAGGUGAAAUUCGUAGAUAUUAGGAGGAACACCAGUGGCGAAGGCGACUUACUGGACUGUAACUGACGCUGAGGCACGAAAGCGUGGGUAGCGAACAGGAUUAGAUACCCUGGUAGUCCACGCCGUAAACGAUGAGUACUAGGUGUUGCGGGUAUUGACCCCUGCAGUGCCGCAGCUAACGCAUUAAGUACUCCGCCUGGGAAGUACGGUCGCAAGACUAAAACUCAAAUGAAUUGACGG
rnacentral:rRNA from 1 species